CAAAUAUCUCUUCUGCUUCUGCAUUUCAAUUUAACUUUUCUAUACGCCUUCUUCUUCUUCUUCGGUGCAAAUUGUAUCAUACGGUUAAUUACCACCUACUCACAGAGACAAAUAAAUUGGUAGAUAUGAGUUCAGCACACAAACUUUGAUCACCAUUUUUAUGUGAUCAGAGAAUAUUCUUAACACAAACUAAAGAAACAUAGAAUACGAAUAAUUGUUUCUCUUUUCCCUCUUUUCAGGUUACAUCUAAGGUAGCAUGCUCCACUUUCUUCUUGCAACCGAGAAAAGAAUGAAGCAAUAGGUGUUGUUACGAAGCAUGCAAGUGGGUCGGAGACAGGGAUAGUACGAAAGGCGAGGAAUGGAUUAGAAAAAACGGAAGGAAGCAGACGCCAGUGUUUCAUGAAUGAUGAAAGCGACCAACACACAUUCAUUCAUUCGUUCAUACUUGACCACCGUCACUGUUUCUAUUCUUCACUCUUUUAUUGCCUUUUCAUCUUCUUCAUUGGUCAUGGCUACAGUGCCACGUAACUUGGACCACUUCAAGUCUUUUUUUCUGGUGGGUCAUCACUCAUCUUGCAUCUCAAUGCCAAGGAGAAUAAGCUUCUCUGUAAUUUAAUGCCAUUAAUGGCGUUCUGGAUAACUCAGAAAGUUUCUUUUAUAUAUGUUUCAUGGUUUAUCUCGCAAACUUUUCUUU